CCUGAAAUAUAUUUUUCUGCUUUUAAUCAACAAUUGCAAUUGGAUUGGGUUUUACAAGAAUUAUUUCACAGUCGAUGAUGAUGGAUUUACGAUCAAACCAUGUACGCACAUACCAGAAAUUUGGUUUACCAGCAAUUUUAUUUGCCAGAUAAUUAAUCGUCUAUUCGUAUGUUCGUCGUUUAUCUUGUUCGAGUAUCAAUAAUUUGAUACGAGAAACAAUCGAUGUAACAUUAAUAAUUUCUAAAUAGAAGAUAGAACUAAUUAAGAGGUAAACGAACCUCAGUUUGGUAUCGUUCCACAAACCGUCCUGUUUGCUACUUAAAAUAUAUUUUUCUGCUUUUAAUCAACAAUUGCAAUUGGAUUGGAUCUUUCAAGAAUUAUUUCACAAUCGAUGAUGGUGGAUUUACGAUCAAACCAUGUACGCACAUACCAGAAAUUUGGUUUACCAGCAAUUUUAUUUGCUAUAUAAUUAAUCGUCUAUUCGUAUGUUCGUCGUUUAUCUUGUUCGAGUAUCAAUAAUUUGAUACGAGAAACAAUCGAUGUAACAUUAAUAAUUUCUAAAUAGAAGAUAAAACUAAUUAAGAGGUAAACGAAUCUCAGUUUGGUGUCGUUCCACAAACCGUCCUGUUUGCUACUUAAAAUAUAUUUUUCUGCUUUUAAUCAACAAUUGCAAUUGGAUUGGAUCUUUCAAGAAUUAUUUCACAAUCGAUGAUGGUGGAUUUACGAUCAAACCAUGUACGCACAUACCAGAAAUUUGGUUUACCAGCAAUUUUAUUUGCCAGAUAAUUAAUCGUCUAUUCGUAUGUUCGUCGUUUAUCUUGUUCGAGUAUCAAUAAUUUGAUACGAGAAACAAUCGAUGUAACAUUAAUAAUUUCUAAAUAGAAGAUAGAACUAAUUAAGAGGUAAACGAUUCUCAGUUUGGUGUCGUUCCACAAACCGUCCUGUUUGCUACUUAAAAUAUAUUUUUCUGCUUUUAAUCAACAAUUGCAAUUGGAUUGGGUUUUACAAGAAUUAUUUCACAGUCGAUGAUGAUGGAUUUACGAUCAAACCAUGUACGCACAUACCAGAAAUUUGGUUUACCAGCAAUUUUAUUUGCUAUAUAAUUAAUCGUCUAUUCGUAUGUUCGUCGUUUAUCUUGUUCGAGUAUCAAUAAUUUGAUACGAGAAACAAUCGAUGUAAUAUUAAUAAUUUCUAAAUAGAAGAUAAAACUAAUGAAGAGGUAAACGAAUCUCAUUAUCGAACAAUCGUCUUUGAGUGCUCUCGUCUGAUUGUUUAUUGCUACGAAAGAUAACGGUGUUACGAACGGUGGGGAAACUCGUGACGUAUUUUCGUUAUCCUUCGAUAUCGAGAUAGGAACACGACGCAAUAGGCAUUUUACGCGUACGCUGCGAUAACAGUUUCGACUGAUAAGCGACGAUAAAAGAGAAACAAAGAGUUAGAACGCACAGAAUGCAGCGAUGUCCUUUAACGAGAAAAAUUCACCUUAUCUGUUCCUGUGGCCAGCGUAACGCUUUGUUUUUAUCGUUAUACGUUAUCGUUAUCUAUUCGUAGAUAACGGCGUAAUCGUGAACAUUGUACGACCUCAUUUCGCCUCGUAACCAUUUCAUAACGUAGCGUCCUACGCUAUUUUUCAUUUUUCUCUUGCCAAGCAAAUGAAACGACAGUUUAUCUGCGACGUAAAAUUAAUUGAAUUUAAUCGAAUCGAAUCGAAUUCAACCGAAUCGAACUGAAUUUCGUGGAAGAUCGACAGAUUAAUUAGAAACGAUUGCGAAGUAUUUCAGUCGAUGAAACCGACUUAGAAUUUCAGAAAAAGAUAUAACGCGUUGGAAUUUAAGGAGAUUUGUUAGAAUAAUAGAAAGAGGUCUACUUUUUUUUAGAUCUGUUGUUAUAGCAAAAUUCUCUCUUCUCUUAUUCUUAUUCUCUUAUUCUCUGCUUCUUUCGAUCGCCAAUGUGUUUAUGCGAGAGGCUGAGGAAGAAAACGACUAGAUUCUUCCGCAAGUUGAUGAAUUGCGUUAUUUAUUUGCACAAAAAGAUGGUUCAGCAGUAAACUCGUUUAGAAGCAAAAUACGUCGCUCGCAUAUUUUCGAUUUUCGUACAGCAAAUAUCAGCCCGAUAAAACCAAGUUCAUACUGGAAAUUAAAACGGAGAUUCGUUUCGAGAAAUACGAUAUCAAAUACAAAUAAGCCACAAAUGCAGCGCUCAAUUGCAACGAUCUA